rnacentral:rRNA from 1 species
UGGGGAAUAUUGGACAAUGGGGGCAACCCUGAUCCAGCCAUGCCGCGUGUGUGAAGAAGGCCUUUUGGUUGUAAAGCACUUUAAGCGAGGAGGAGGCUACCCUGACUAAUACUCAGGAGUAGUGGACGUUACUCGCAGAAUAAGCACCGGCUAACUCUGUGCCAGCAGCCGCGGUAAUACAGAGGGUGCGAGCGUUAAUCGGAAUUACUGGGCGUAAAGCGCGCGUAGGCGGUUUGUUAAGUCGGAUGUGAAAUCCCCGGGCUCAACCUGGGAAUUGCAUUCGAUACUGGCAAGCUAGAGUAUGGGAGAGGAAGGUAGAAUUCCAGGUGUAGCGGUGAAAUGCGUAGAGAUCUGGAGGAAUACCGAUGGCGAAGGCAGCCUUCUGGCCUAAUACUGACGCUGAGGUGCGAAAGCAUGGGGAGCAAACAGGAUUAGAUACCCCCGUAGUCCCUGAGCGGGCUGGCAAGGCGCAU